GUGGAUUAGAUACCCUGGUAGUCCACGCCCUAAACGAUGUUUACUUGCUGUUGGGGGCAACCUUAGUAGCGAAGCUAACGCGAGAAGUAAACCGCCUGGGGAGUACGGUCGCAAGAUUAAAACUCAAAGGAAUUGACGGGGACCCGCACAAGUGGUGGAUGAUGUGGAUUAAUUCGAUGCAACGCGAAAAACCUUACCUGCUCUUGACAUGUACGGAAGAUUUCAGAGAUGAGAUUGUGCCUUCGGGAACCGUAACACAGGUGCUGCACGGUCGUCGACUGCU
rnacentral:rRNA from 1 species